rnacentral:rRNA from 1 species
UUCCCGAAUUUAAAAGAGCUAUAUAUUUUAUUGUAAUAAAUAUUUAAAAUAUGAAAUGAAACGUUAAUUUAUCUGGUUUUUUAAGAAAAUUUAAUUUUUUUAUAUUCUGGGGGAUGAGCUUCAGAUAGAAUUAAAAGUUUUGUUAUAAUUUUUUUAUUAAAAUAGAUUACUUAAUUUGAAUUGAAUUAAUGAUUAGAUUAGUAUAAGGUUAAAAAAAGUAAUUCGGCAAAAAUUUUUCACCUGUUUAUUAAAAACAUGGCCUUAUGAGAAUAAUUUAAGGUCGAGCCUGCCCACUGAGGCUGCGGUACUCUGACCGUACAAAGGUAGCAUAAUAAUUAGUUUUUUAAUUGAAAGCUGGAAUGAAUGGUUUUAUGAAAAAAUUACUGUCUCUUUUUAAUAGAAUUUUAUCUUUAAGUAAAAAAGCUUAAAUUUUGUUGAAAGACGAGAAGACCCUAUAGAGUUUUAUUUUGAUUGGGGCGAUUGAAAAAUUAGAUGAACUUUUGAUUAUAAGAAUAAAUUACCUUAGGGAUAACAGCGUAAUCUUUCUUAGAGUUCUAAUCGAAAGAAGGGGUUGCGACCUCGA